GAAUGCCUCGGCAAGGGCAACUACUGAGUCCCACACUUCCAGAACUUCUUACCAGGAAAGAUGAGCCCUCCUGGCUGAGAAAACCUGUUUCAGCUAAGAGCACUAACUCAGUGCUUUGGGGAUGCAUUGAUCAUAGAUCAAAAAGGGGCAUGUGAAUUACCACAAAUACGUCCCUUGGGUUCAUCCCAAUUGAGCUACCUGACGCUCCACGCUGACAGCUUCGUCUCUUAGAAAGAAAAGGAUGUAAGAAUGGAGCUGCUACUCUGGACUUAAUUCUGACCAACAAGGAAGAACAAAUUGGGCCACCCUAUUCCAGAGCUCCACGUGGAAUCUGCUCAGACCUCAGCUGCACCCACAUCGCAGGAGAAAUGUGCUGAAGCAAAGGCUUUUGUCAGGCCAAACACAUCUGUGAAUAAUUGAACAAUAUUCAUGUCGAAGAGUCAGCAAUUUAUCACCGGCUUGGCCUCUACUUUUAGAAGGAGUGAAUAACUUUUUGAGAUUUGGAAUCAGAUGCAACUAACUUGAAUGCUCUCUGCCCCCCUCCACUCGGCCCUGCUCGACUCACCCCCCCCCCCAGGGGCCCUCAGGUUCCUGGGUCACUGCACAGGCCCGGAAGGCCCUUCCUGUGGUGAGGUGCUGUCAGGUGUGCCCCCUGCCCCUCAGACCUCACGGGGGCCACUCUCCCCAGCCCUGAAGCAGCCAGAAGAGCUGAGAGGAGCCAGGCUGUGAAAAUCAAAUCAGUAACCAGAAAGGAAGCCAGGGGUCAAGACAGAGAACCUUAAAGAUAGGCAGAGAAGUCAACAGUGGCUGGUAAGAAGCCUGGGAUCAGGAGAAGGACAGUGACUUGCCUGAGAUGCAGCAAUGACAAUAGAGUGGUGCUGCAGCUCGACUUCCUCAGACCUUCCAGGCAAAUGGACUCACACACCCUCUGCAAACUGGGAGACCCAAACAGGAGAGGCUUGGAAGCAUCAGGAGGAAUGGAACUGCUGACCUCUUGAGCACAGUAGUGCCCUCACCCAUGGGGGAUACAUUUCAAGACCUUGGUGGAGGCCUGAAACUAUGACCGUACUACACCCUAUAUAGAGUUUUUUCCUAAACAUGUGAUAAAGUUUCAUUUAUAAAUGAGGUUUAAUAAGAGACUAACAACUAAUAAUAAAAUAGAACAAUUAUAACAA